UGCUCACCAGAAUAUCCGGAUCAGAGCUCGGUGUACGGAGAAUCCCGAGGAGUUUCCCGUCUUUCUUCGCCCCAAGUUGAAGACAAGCGAUCAGACGCGCGCUCCCACAGUCCCGACUCAACUGCAAAGAGAGACAAGUCUUGAGUGCUUGGUGACUGUUGCUGCCAUCAAGAUAAGAGUGUCAGACUUUCUGUACACUGUCCUGCAUGAGGAGACAAAGACAAGGGAGGAGAGGAAAGAGAAGACUAGAAAGGAGUAAAGUUCAUGGUGGCGGUUUAACUCUCCCCUUUGACCACAUAGACGAUGGACAUGUUGAAGCAAAAGCUGUGUGUUUUGUAGGUAUGUGCUGAAUUUGAAAUGCUUGUAUUG